GGGAGCUUGGCUCAGUUGGAAGAGCGCAGGUCUCAUACGAUUGUAUGACCCGGUGUCAAACCUGGAAAUCCUGAGGUCGUGAGUUCGAGCCUCACAGUUCCCA